UUAAGUUAUUAAGGGCGCACGGUGGAUGCCUUGGCACUAGAAGCCGAUGAAGGACGUUACUAACGACGAUAUGCUUUGGGGAGCUGUAAGUAAGCUUUGAUCCAGAGAUUUCCGAAUGGGGAAACCCAGCAUGAGUUAUGUCAUGUUAUCGAUAUGUGAAUACAUAGCAUAUCAGAAGGCACACCCGGAGAACUGAAACAUCUUAGUACCCGGAGGAAGAGAAAGAAAAUUCGAUUCCCUUAGUAGCGGCGAGCGAAACGGGAAGAGCCCAAACCAACAAGCUUGCUUGUUGGGGUUGUAGGACACUCUGUACGGAGUUACAAAGGACGACAUUAGACGAAUCAUCUGGAAAGAUGAAUCAAAGAAGGUAAUAAUCCUGUAGUCGAAAAUGUUGUCUCUCUUGAGUGGAUCCUGAGUACGACGGAGCACGUGAAAUUCCGUCGGAAUCUGGGAGGACCAUCUCCUAAGGCUAAAUACUCUCUAGUGACCGAUAGUGAACCAGUACCGUGAGGGAAAGGUGAAAAGCACCCCGGAAGGGGAGUGAAAUAGAACCUGAAACCGUGUGCUUACAAGUAGUCAGAGCCCGUUAAUGGGUGAUGGCGUGCCUUUUGUAGAAUGAACCGGCGAGUUACGAUUUGAUGCAAGGUUAAGCAGUAAAUGUGGAGCCGUAGCGAAAGCGAGUCUGAAUAGGGCGUUUAGUAUUUGGUCGUAGACCCGAAACCAGGUGAUCUACCCUUGGUCAGGUUGAAGUUCAGGUAACACUGAAUGGAGGACCGAACCGACUUACGUUGAAAAGUGAGCGGAUGAACUGAGGGUAGCGGAGAAAUUCCAAUCGAACCUGGAGAUAGCUGGUUCUCUCCGAAAUAGCUUUAGGGCUAGCCUCAAGUGAUGAUUAUUGGAGGUAGAGCACUGUUUGGACGAGGGGCCCCUCUCGGGUUACCGAAUUCAGACAAACUCCGAAUGCCAAUUAAUUUAACUUGGGAGUCAGAACAUGGGUGAUAAGGUCCGUGUUCGAAAGGGAAACAGCCCAGACCACCAGCUAAGGUCCCAAAAUAUAUGUUAAGUGGAAAAGGAUGUGGCGUUGCCCAGACAACUAGGAUGUUGGCUUAGAAGCAGCCAUCAUUUAAAGAGUGCGUAAUAGCUCACUAGUCGAGUGACACUGCGCCGAAAAUGUACCGGGGCUAAACAUAUUACCGAAGCUGUGGAUUGUCCUUUGGACAAUGGUAGGAGAGCGUUCUAAGGGCGUUGAAGCAUGAUCGUAAGGACAUGUGGAGCGCUUAGAAGUGAGAAUGCCGGUGUGAGUAGCGAAAGACGGGUGAGAAUCCCGUCCACCGAUUGACUAAGGUUUCCAGAGGAAGGCUCGUCCGCUCUGGGUUAGUCGGGUCCUAAGCUGAGGCUGACAGGCGUAGGCGAUGGAUAACAGGUUGAUAUUCCUGUACCACCUAUAAUCGUUUUAAUCGAUGGGGGGACGCAGUAGGAUAGGCGAAGCGUGCGAUUGGAUUGCACGUCUAAGCAGUAAGGCUGAGUAUUAGGCAAAUCCGGUACUCGUUAAGGCUGAGCUGUGAUGGGGAGAAGACAUUGUGUCUUCGAGUCGUUGAUUUCACACUGCCGAGAAAAGCCUCUAGAUAGAAAAUAGGUGCCCGUACCGCAAACCGACACAGGUAGUCAAGAUGAGAAUUCUAAGGUGAGCGAGCGAACUCUCGUUAAGGAACUCGGCAAAAUGACCCCGUAACUUCGGGAGAAGGGGUGCUCUUUAGGGUUAACGCCCAGAAGAGCCGCAGUGAAUAGGCCCAAGCGACUGUUUAUCAAAAACACAGGUCUCUGCUAAACCGUAAGGUGAUGUAUAGGGGCUGACGCCUGCCCGGUGCUGGAAGGUUAAGAGGAGUGGUUAGCUUCUGCGAAGCUACGAAUCGAAGCCCCAGUAAACGGCGGCCGUAACUAUAACGGUCCUAAGGUAGCGAAAUUCCUUGUCGGGUAAGUUCCGACCCGCACGAAAGGCGUAACGAUUUGGGCACUGUCUCAACGAGAGACUCGGUGAAAUCAUAGUACCUGUGAAGAUGCAGGUUACCCGCGACAGGACGGAAAGACCCCGUGGAGCUUUACUGUAGCCUGAUAUUGAAAUUCGGCACAGCUUGUACAGGAUAGGUAGGAGCCUUUGAAACGUGAGCGCUAGCUUACGUGGAGGCGCUGGUGGGAUACUACCCUAGCUGUGUUGACUUUCUAACCCGCACCACUUAUCGUGGUGGGAGACAGUGUCAGGCGGGCAGUUUGACUGGGGCGGUCGCCUCCUAAAAGGUAACGGAGGCGCUCAAAGGUUCCCUCAGAAUGGUUGGAAAUCAUUCAUAGAGUGUAAAGGCAUAAGGGAGCUUGACUGCGAGACCUACAAGUCGAGCAGGGUCGAAAGACGGACUUAGUGAUCCGGUGGUUCCGCAUGGAAGGGCCAUCGCUCAACGGAUAAAAGCUACCCCGGGGAUAACAGGCUUAUCUCCCCCAAGAGUUCACAUCGACGGGGAGGUUUGGCACCUCGAUGUCGGCUCAUCGCAUCCUGGGGCUGUAGUCGGUCCCAAGGGUUGGGCUGUUCGCCCAUUAAAGCGGUACGCGAGCUGGGUUCAGAACGUCGUGAGACAGUUCGGUCCCUAUCCGUCGUGGGCGUAGGAAAUUUGAGAGGAGCUGUCCUUAGUACGAGAGGACCGGGAUGGACAUACCUCUGGUGUACCAGUUGUCGUGCCAACGGCAUAGCUGGGUAGCUAUGUGUGGACGGGAUAAGUGCUGAAAGCAUCUAAGCAUGAAGCCCCCCUCAAGAUGAGAUUUCCCAACUUCGGUUAUAAGAUCCCUCAAAGAUGAUGAGGUUAAUAGGUUCGAGGUGGAAGCAUGGUGACAUGUGGAGCUGACGAAUACUAAUCGAUCGAAGACUUAAUCAA
rnacentral:rRNA from 1 species